rfam:Echinostoma caproni strain Egypt genome assembly, scaffold: ECPE_scaffold0002294
GCAUUACUGACGAGUCCGAAACAGAACGAAACAGCUGUCGAGUGU